UUCUAGCACCCACACAGGAGAGAGAACAUGCGGUAUUUGUCUUCCUUGACAUCCUGCUGUUCGCAGUAAAACAGAUGGAACUGGAGGAUGACAUUGCUCAGGCCCCUGAGACGCCCCACAUGGAUUUUCUACCUUCAAGCAGCUCACAGCCUAUGCCUGCUUCUCUUCCUUCUCCUCUGCGGAGCCUCUCAGUGCCCCUGGGUUUAGACUUUUGAAAAGACAAGCUAAGAACGUUUGCCGGAUGCCUUUCUUCUAUCCUGCCGCAUACCUCUACUGGAGCAAUGAGCACAGAGUAGGUCCUUGCUGGACCGAAGAAAAGGGCAGAAAGAAACUACAGAGGGAGGAAUAAAACAUCACCAUUAUCUCAGCAACCAUCAAAUAUCGUAAUCGUUGUCAUCUCAACAAGAGCAACUCAAGGUGCAGGGGACCGGCGCUCCAGAGGAGGGGCACGUCACCUAGGCAGCAGUCAACUGAAAGAGUGGCCAUUGGAGAGGCAGCCCCUGCGAGAGUGGGAGGACAGCACUGCCUUGAAUUCCCCUCCGUGGCGCCACCACAGUGUAGCCCAUGUUAGCUCUGCCCUGCCUGCGUCUUGCUUCAGAAGCUGUCUGUGUUACCAAGGAGCCAGCAGCUACUGCGUUAGGCGGUUGUCUCAGCAUUUUGCAUACAGGGCCUCGUUUAAUCCUCACAGCAGUUCUC